GACGAACGCUGGCGGCGUGCCUAAUACAUGCAAGUCGAACGCAGUGGGGACGGGUGAGUAACACGUGGGUAACCUCCCAUCAGAGGGGAUAACACUUGGAAACAGGUGCUAAACCGAUACUGAUGGAUGGACACGCGGUGCAUUCGCUAGUGGGUGAGGUAACGGCUCACCAGGGCCACGAUGCAUACCCGACCGUGGAGGGUGAUCGGCCACACUGGGACUGAGACACGGCCCAGACUCCUACGUGAGGCAGCAGUAGGGAAUCGUCGGCAAUGGACGAAAGUCUGACCGAGCAACGCCGCGUGAGUGAAGAAGGUUUUCGGAUCGUAAAACUCUGUUGUUAGAGAAGCGGUAUCUAACCAGAAAGCCACGGCUAACUACGUGCCAGCAGCCGCGGUAAUUC
rnacentral:rRNA from 1 species